CUUUGUUUACAUUAGCAAUUAAGCAGCCACAUCUUGUGAAAAAAGUUUAAAGGCUUUACUUGUACAAAGAGUGGAAUGGGUUUCCUUCGAAAUGGCCAGAAGAGUAUUGCAGGAAUGUGGAAAAGUAUUCAAAACUGCCAUGCUGUACCUUGCCGAAGCUGCCUUUCCCGAGCAUCUUGUGCAGAACGAAGUCAUUGACGGUGAACCUGGGUUGGUCCUUCUUUGGGACGGCGUACAGAGGCUCUUCUUCUUCUUUCAGCGCCUCAGUGAUGCUCCUGUCUGCCGGUCCUUCCCAUGAAACACCCUGCAUCUCUUCAGGUGUAGCUGUGGCCGUUACUAACCCAGACGGAGCUCUGAUAACCCCCGGCUGGUCGACACUGACUGGACCCUCUCUGCCGAUGAUUUCCGUUUCAGUGUCCCUGGAGCUUCUGGCCUGAAGGCAAAAGGGCUACAUACAUUCAAUAUGAUGAAUUGAAAGGAACACAAACCGGUGUUUACAAGUGUCUGCAGAGCGGGGUUUCCCCUCCACUCUCAUCCCAGCAGCUCGUUAGCAUUAAUCACCGCAGAUGAAUCAUGUGUAACGUGUGGCUGAUUACCUGGAUCCAUGGCGACGGGCUGGCAGGAGAUGACAGGAGUCGGCUCUAACACCGGGGACGGGGCCAACCUGCAGGAGAGACCAGAAAUACCGUCAAAUAAUCCAUAAGAAAAUCCAUGAAAUAAUCUAAGCAGACAGGAAACUACAGAGCUACUAAAGGGGACAGGUUUGAAAGGAGGGGUUAGAGUGUAAGCGUUGGCCUCGCACCAGCCGACAGGAAAGAUGUCCAUGGACUCCACAUCCACGAUACACUCUGACAGGGGCUUCGCCACACCUGGAGACAGGUCUAACAUAUAAAAUAGAAAUGACCAUAUGACAGAAGUGACCCACCUUGAACACCUCCAGCGGCAGCGGGCUCUUCUGUCCGUCGAGUUGAGCUUCCUGCAGAGCCUCCUGCCAGUCUGAGGAGCUUUUAAGAGACCUGAGCCCUUAAGAGAGGAGAGAUUAGCAGUUGUAGGCCUAAUCGUUCAGAUCCUCACCUGCUGGCGGCUCCAGGGCGAGCUGGUUCUCCAGAGCCCAGCCCAGCGGCCGGAGCCGGACGUCCAGGUAGAAGAGCCAGCUGUCCUGAGCCCGGUGGUCCUCCGAGAGGCCGGAGUAACGCAGACGCAGCC